CUCCAAUAGUGUAUAUUAAAGUUGUUGCAGUUAAAAAGCUCGUAGUCGAAUGUAGAAGUGGCAAUACUGAUCUGACUUAGGAGACAGACAUUGGUAAUGUGAUUUCUUUUUACCGACCACGGGUUGUUUUUUAUUAAACCAACUUUUUGGGCAAUCGGUAAUUUUUACUGUGAAUAAUUAGAGUGUUCAUGGCAGGCCUC
rnacentral:rRNA from 1 species